rnacentral:lncRNA from 1 species
GUGUACUCUAAUAUUUUUCAUUUCUCAAUUCUUCAAGCUGGUUAAUUUAUUCAUAUUUUCCAGAAUUUUGUAGUUUUCACUAUAGCUGUUGGCUUCGAAGGUUGUUUUGGAGAACAUGUCCUGGCCUAACCCCUGAUGUCAGCUGCAAAAGUUCCCACAGGAAUUAAUAGACCAGGUCUCCAAAGAGUGGCUACUAAUUUUUGGCUCAGAAUGCCUGGAGUAGCCUUAAAGUAUGGUGAAAGGACGGUGGCUG